UGGGGAGUCGUCCAACGGCAAGACAUGUGGCUCUGGACCACAGAAUCGGGGUUCGAAUCCCUGCUCCCCAG
rnacentral:tRNA from 2 species